GACGUAGGGCGCGAGCGUUGUCCGGAUUUAUUGGGCGUAAAGAGCUCGUAGGCGGCUUGUCGCGUCGUCUGUGAAAACUUGGGGCUCAACCGCAAGCUUGCGGUCGAUACGGGCAGGCUCGAGUUCGGUAGGGGAGACUGGAAUUCCUGGUGUAGCGGUGAAAUGCGCAGAUAUCAGGAGGAACACCGGUGGCGAAGGCGGCAUCCUGGACCGGUACUGACGCUGAGGAGCGAAAGCCAGGGGAGCGAACAGG
rnacentral:rRNA from 1 species